UACGGAGGGUGCUAGCGUUGUUCGGAAUCACUGGGCGUAAAGCGCGUGUAGGCGGUCCGUUAAGUCUGAUGUGAAAGCCCGGGGCUCACCCCCGGAAGUGCAUUGGAAACUGACGAACUUGAGUCCCGGAGAGGAGGGUGGAAUUCCUGGUGUAGCGGUGAAAUGCGUAGAUAUCAGGAGGAACACCGGUGGCGAAGGCGGCCCUCUGGACGGUGACUGACGCUGAGACGCGAAAGCGUGGGGAGCAAACAGG
rnacentral:rRNA from 1 species